CAGUAGCCGCGGUAACACGGAGGGUGCAAGCGUUAAUCGGAAUUACUGGGCGUAAAGCGCACGCAGGCGGUCUGACAAGUCAGAUGUGAAAUCCCCGGGCUUAACCUGGGAACUGCAUUUGAAACUGUCAGGCUGGAGUCUUGUAGAGGGGGGUAGAAUUCCAGGUGUAGCGGUGAAAUGCGUAGAGAUCUGGAGGAAUACCGGUGGCGAAGGCGGCCCCCUGGACAAAGACUGACGCUCAGGUGCGAAAGCGUGGGGAGCAAACAGGAUUAGAUACCCGGGUAGUCCCUGUCUCUUAUAC
rnacentral:rRNA from 1 species